GAUGAACGCUGGCGGCGUGCCUAAUACAUGCAAGUCGAGCGAACGGACGAGAAGCUUGCUUCUCUGAUGUUAGCGGCGGACGGGUGAGUAACACGUGGAUAACCUACCUAUAAGACUGGGAUAACUUCGGGAAACCGGAGCUAAUACCGGAUAAUGUUUUGAACCGCAUGGUUCAAAAGUGAAAGACGGUCUUGCUGUCACUUAUAGAGGGAUCCGCGCUGCAUUAGCUAGUUGGUAAGGUAACGGCUUACCAAGGCAACGAUGCAUAGCCGACCUGAGAGGGUGAUCGGCCACACUGGAACUGAGACACGGUCCAGACUCCUACGGGAGGCAGCAGUAGGGAAUCUUCCGCAAUGGGCGAAAGCCUGACGGAGCAACGCCGCGUGAGUGAUGAAGGUCUUCGGAUCGUAAAACUCUGUUAUUAGGGAAGAACAUAUGUGUAAGUAACUGUGCACAUCUUGACGGUACCUAAUCAGAAAGCCACGGCUAACUACGUG
rnacentral:rRNA from 1 species